CUCCAGCCUGGGUAACAAGAGCAAGACUCUGUCUAAAAAAAAAAAAAAAAGAAAGAAAGAAAAAGAAAAGAAAGAAAGCUUGAAGAAGAGGGAGCAAGAGCAGGCAGUGGAGAAUGAGGUCCCUAAGGAGUAGACUGGAGGAGUAUAUUGGUGUCUCAGACCAGAGCCUCAGUGGGGAUUCCCAGAGCCUUUUGAAUUUGAGCUGAACCAGCUAAAGACUGCGCACCAGCUAGAC
rnacentral:lncRNA from 1 species